rnacentral:rRNA from 1 species
GGCGGGAUGNUNAACACAUGCAAUUCGAACGGUAACAGGCCCGCAAGGGUGCUGACGAGUGGCGGACGGGUGAGGAAUACAUCGGAAUUUGCCCAGUCGUGGGGGAUAACGUAGGGAAACUUACGCUAAUACCGCAUACGACCGAGAGGUGAAAGCGGGGGAUCCGUAAGGACUCGCGCGAGUGGAUGAGCCGAUGUCGGAUUAGCUAGUUGGCGGGGUAAAGGCCCACCAAGGCGACGAUCCGUAGCUGGUCUGANAGGAUGAUCAGCCACACUGGGACUGAGACACGGCCCAGACUCCUACGGGAGGCAGCAGUGGGGAAUAUUGGACAAUGGGGGCAACCCUGAUCCAGCAAUGCCGCGUGUGUGAAGAAGGCCUUCGGGUUGUAAAGCACUUUUAUCCGGAACGAAACGCGCUUGGUGAAUAGCCACGCGAACUGACGGUACCGGANGAAUAAGCACCGGCUAACUUCGUGCCAGCAGCCGCGGUAAUACNAAGGGUGCAAGCGUUACUC